AUUGAACGCUGGCGGCAGGCUUAACACAUGCAAGUCGAGCGGGGUGAUGGUGCUUGCACUAUCACUUAGCGGCGGACGGGUGAGUAAUGCUUAGGAAUCUGCCUAUUAGUGGGGGACAACAUCUCGAAAGGGAUGCUAAUACCGCAUACGUCCUACGGGAGAAAGCAGGGGAUCACUUGUGACCUUGUGCUAAUAGAUGAGCCUAAGUCGGAUUAGCUAGUUGGUGGGGUAAAGGCCUACAAAGGCGACGAUCUGUAGCGGGUCUGAGAGGAUGAUCCGCCACACUGGGGCUGAGACACGGCCCAGACUCCUACGGGAGGCAGCAGAGGGGAAUAUUGGACAAUGGGGGGAACCCUGAUCCAGCCAUGCCGCGUGUGUGAAGAAGGCCUUAUGGUUGUAAAGCACUUUAAGCGAGGAGGAGGCUUACCUAGUUAAUACCUGGGAUAAGCGGACGUUACUCGCGGAAUAAGCACCGGCUAACUCUGUGCCAGCCGCCGCGGUAA
rnacentral:rRNA from 1 species